AAACCAGCACCUCAAGUGGUCAGGAGGAUUAUUGGGCCUAAAGCAUCCGUAGCCUGUUCUAUAAGUUUCCGGUUAAAUCCACUAGCUCAACUAGUGGGCUGCCGAAAAUACUGUAGAACUAGGGAGUGGGAGAGGUAGACGGUAUUCGGUAGGAAGGGGUAAAAUCCUUUGAUCUAUUGAGGACCACCUGUGGCGAAGGCGGUCUACCAGAACACGUUCGACGGUGAGGGAUGAAAGCUGGGGGAGCAAACCGGAUUAGAAACCCGUGUAGUCC
rnacentral:rRNA from 1 species